UACAGAGGUCCCAAGCGUUGUUCGGAUUCACUGGGCGUAAAGGGUGCGUAGGUGGUCAGGUAAGUCGGAUGUGAAAUCUCCGAGCUCAACUCGGAAACUGCAUUGGAAACUACCUGGCUCGAGGGUUGGAGGGGGGACUGGAAUGCUUGGUGUAGCAGUGAAAUGCGUAGAUAUCAAGCGGAACACCAGUGGCGAAGGCGGCUCUCUGGAACGCAACUGACGCUGAGACGCGAAAGCGUGGGGAGCAAACAGG
rnacentral:rRNA from 1 species